UUGAAUCAAAUUUGCAUGAAGUUGGAACGUUUGUCUACGUUUACCGCUAGGGGCGCUUUUCCAACUGCAUACAAAUUUGAGUUA
rfam:Bombyx mori DNA, contig: Bm_scaf51_contig26604, strain: p50T/Dazao, build 2, whole genome shotgun sequence.